rnacentral:rRNA from 1 species
CGGUUAAAAAGCUCGUAGUUGGAUUUCUGUUGAGGAUGACCGGUCCGCUCUUUGAGCGCGUAUCUGGUUCAGCCUUGGCAUCCUCUUGGGGAACGCUACUGUGCUUGAUUGCAUGGGGCGGUAUUCAAGACUUUUACUUUGAGGAAAUUAGAGUGUUCACUGCAAGCGUUAGCAAUUGAAUACAUUAGCAUGGAAUAAUAAUAUAGGACCUUGGUACUAUUUUGUUGGUUUCUAGAACUAAGGUAAUGAUUAAUAGGGACAAUUGGGGGCAUUCGUAUUAACGCGUCAGAGGUGGAAUUCUUAGAUUGCGUUACGACGAACUACUGCGAAAGCAUUUGCCAAGGAUGUUUUCAUUGAUCAAGAACGAAAGUAUGGGGAUCGAAGACGCUUAGAUACCGUCGUAGUCUAUACCAUAAACUAUGCCAACUAGAGAUUGGAGGUCGUUCUCUUUAUGACUCCUUCAGCACCUUAUGAGAAAUCAAAGUCUUUGGGUUCCGGGGGGAGUAUGGUCGCAAGGCUGAAACUUAAAGGAAUUGACGGAAGGGCACCACCAGGAGUGGAGCCUGCGGCUUAAUUUGACUCAACACGAGAAAACUUACCAGGUCCAGACAUAGUAAGGAUUGACAGAUUGAUAG